rnacentral:lncRNA from 1 species
UAAACUACACGUGGUCCUGAAAAUGGGUAACAAAUAAUGCAUAACAAAUUAAGGUAUUAAAUAAAUUUGGUCAAAAAUUGUAAUUCAAGCUUACUGGUAAUCUGCAGCAAUUGUAGGCGAUGGUCUGAUCAUUCAUCAGCAGAAUUUCUUUACCUUUCAAGUUAACCGAACAUGUUUAUCUCCCAAAUAUAUUAACAAAUUUUUGCUGGAUUUAAGAAAAAUGAGUUUGUGGAGAAAGUUAAGUCCAGUUUGAUAAGGUUCUGCUUUUGUAGUGGCUGAGACUUGAAACUACCUUUUUUUUCAUGUUAAUUCAUUUGUGUGAAGUAGUUAGGAGUUAAUCUUUAGUUUUAGAAGGGCAUAAAAUUAAUGGAUGCUUUAUACAGGGAUUUUUUGUUGUAGAAUACUCAAACUGAAACCUUUUAGGAAGUGGGGAGUUUUGAUUAAUAUAGAGUGCCUGCUGUAAUUACAGACUUGAAGUGUUUAGGAUACUGAAUUGUCUCAGAAGUCCAUUGGAGGUUUUAAUAAGCUUGACUGAAUUUUAUUUUUUUAAUUAUUGUGGGGAUUAGAAAGGC